rnacentral:lncRNA from 1 species
AGAAGAGGCAGAGGGGCUGGGGAAGUGCUUGCCCAUCAGGAGCAGAAUGCCUGCAGAGCUGAGGAACCUAAGUGUAGUGUUGCCAGGAGCAAACUGACCUCUUAUCUGGAUGGUUGCUGUGCCUGCUUGGAGGGGAUGUUCCUGGAGGAUAUACCACGAGGAUGCUGAGACUGAGUCACCUGGAUGAUCCCACAGAACAAGCCAGAGGAGAAGCAGCACUCUUAGGCUCUAGCUGAGAGUUCCUCCUGUCUCCUUCAUGAAGCUGAGCUGGAAGCCUCAGAGCCUUCGCAUCAGAGGUGCCAGAGUCCCUGAGCAGUGGCCCUGUCCUGCUGGCUUUGGAUUGUCUGCCUGCAAGUUGGAUGGAUGCAGCCAGAGGCUGGGGUGAUGAACACGGCUUCCACUGGUGGGCAAAGUGAACUGGGGACCAUCCCCUGUCCUCCACGGGUCUCAACUUUGUCUGCUGGUAAAGGAGAGGUUAGAACUAGAAGUCUCAGGCUUCUGUCCGGCCUGGGGAUUCAAACACCUUUCAGAGCUGAGUUCUAUCAAUUUUCCCGUGUUGGCCCAGGCAAACCACUUUAUUAGCAGCCUCUACAAGGUGCCAAAUCCUGGCUUCUUCCAGUCCCUGGUUCUCAGUGCAGUCAGGGCCCACUCCAGUUGAGCAGCAACCUCAUCGUUGCUGUCAUCACAGGGAUUCUUUAUUCCAAAUCCAACAGUGGCUUGCUGUUCCCAUGCCUAGCCUCACUGCCCUGUGCAGUGGGUAGAAUCCUCUUCUCAGAGGAUGAAAUUGAGGAGCAGAGACAUACACAAAGUUGGGAGUGACCAGGAUUCUCCUCAUCUCUUCACACCAGCCCCAAC